rnacentral:rRNA from 1 species
CCUAGGGCGGCAGCAGUGGGGAAUAUUGGACAAUGGGCGAAAGCCUGAUCCAGCCAUGCCGCGUGUGUGAAGAAGGCCUUCGGGUUGUAAAGCACUUUCAGUGGGGAAGAAAGCCUUGGGGCUAAUACCCUCGAGGAAGGACAUCACCCACAGAAGAAGCACCGGCUAACUCCGUGCCAGCAGCCGCGGUAAUACGGAGGGUGCGAGCGUUAAUCGGAAUUACUGGGCGUAAAGCGCGCGUAGGCGGUCUGAUAAGCCGGUUGUGAAAGCCCCGGGCUCAACCUGGGAACGGCAUCCGGAACUGUCAGGCUAGAGUGCAGGAGAGGAAGGUAGAAUUCCCGGUGUAGCAGUGAAAUGCGUAGAGAUCGGGAGGAAUACCAGUGGCGAAGGCGGCCUUCUGGACUGACACUGACGCUGAGGUGCGAAAGCGUGGGUAGCAAACAGGAUUAGAUACCCCGGUAGUC